rnacentral:rRNA from 1 species
UUGAAUGUCAAAACAACUCUCGGCAACGGAUAUCUCGGCUCUCGCAUCGAUGAAGAACGUAGCGAAAUGCGAUACUUGGUGUGAAUUGCAGAAUCCCGUGAACCAUCGAGUCUUUGAACGCAAGUUGCGCCCGAAGCCUUCGGGCCGAGGGCACGCCUGCCUGGGCGUCACGCAUCGCG